UUGGCCAAAAAGUUCGUUUGGGUUUUUAAGUAAGAUGUUACUGAAAUACCUGAAUGAACUUUUUGGCCAA
ensembl:miRNA